UACGAAGGGUGCAAGCGUUACUCGGAAUUACUGGGCGUAAAGCGUGCGUAGGUGGUUUGUUAAGUCUGAUGUGAAAGCCCUGGGCUCAACCUGGGAAUUGCAUUGGAUACUGGCAGGCUAGAGUCCGGAAGAGGCGAGUGGAAUUCCUGGUGUAGCGGUGGAAUGCGCAGAUAUCAGGAGGAACACCAGCGGCGAAGGCGGUGCUCUGGGCCGGAACUGACGCUGAGGAGCGAAAGCGUGGGGAGCGAACAGG
rnacentral:rRNA from 1 species